rnacentral:tRNA from 4 species
GCGCGGUUAGCUCAGUGGUAGAGCACUACCUUGACACGGUAGGGGUCACUGGUUCGAACCCAGUAUCGCGCACCA